rnacentral:rRNA from 1 species
CGGACGGGUGAGUAACACGUGGGUAACCUACCUAUAAGACUGGGACAACUUCGGGAAACCGGAGCUAAUACCGGAUAAGAUAUCGAACCGCAUGGUUCGAUAGUGAAAGAUGGUUUUGCUAUCACUUAUAGAUGGACCCGCGCCGUAUUAGCUAGUUGGUGAGGUAACGGCUCACCAAGGCAACGAUACGUAGCCGACCUGAGAGGGUGAUCGGCCACACUGGAACUGAGACACGGUCCAGACUCCUACGGGAGGCAGCAGC